AUUGAACGCUGGCGGCAGGCCUAACACAUGCAAGUCGAGCGGAUGAAGGGAGCUUGCUCCUGGAUUCAGCGGCGGACGGGUGAGUAAUGCCUAGGAAUCUGCCUGGUAGUGGGGGAUAACGUCCGGAAACGGGCGCUAAUACCGCAUACGUCCUGAGGGAGAAAGUGGGGGAUCUUCGGACCUCACGCUAUCAGAUGAGCCUAGGUCGGAUUAGCUAGUUGGUGGGGUAAAGGCCUACCAAGGCGACGAUCCGUAACUGGUCUGAGAGGAUGAUCAGCCACACUGGAACUGAGACGCGGUCCAGACUCCUACGGGAGGCAGCAGUGGGGAAUAUUGGACAAUGGGCGAAAGCCUGAUCCAGCCAUGCCGCGUGUGUGAAGAAGGUCUUCGGAUUGUAAAGCACUUUAAGUUGGGAGGAAGGGCAGUAAGUUAAUACCUUGCUGUUUUGACGUUACCAACAGAAUAAGCACCGGCUAACUUCGUG
rnacentral:rRNA from 1 species